rnacentral:rRNA from 1 species
GACGGAGGAUGCAAGUGUUAUCCGGAAUCACUGGGCGUAAAGCGUCUGUAGGUGGUCAAAUAAGUCAACUGUUAAAUCUUGAGGCUCAACCUCAAAAUCGCAGUCGAAACUAUUAGACUAGAGUAUAGUAGGGGUAAAGGGAAUUUCCAGUGGAGCGGUGAAAUGCGUAGAGAUUGGAAAGAACACCCGUGGCGAAGGCGACUCUCUGGGACGGUACUGACGCUGAGACGCGAAAGCGUGGGGAGCGAACAGG